UAACUGAAUCCAUAGGUUAAUGAGGCGAACCGGGGGAACUGAAACAUCUAAGUACCCCGAGGAAAAGAAAUCAACCGAGAUUCCCCCAGUAGCGGCGAGCGAACGGGGAGGAGCCCAGAGCCUGAAUCAGCAUGUGUGUUAGUGGAAGCGUCUGGAAAGGCGCGCGAUACAGGGUGACAGCCCCGUACACAAAAGCGCAUGUGCUGUGAGCUCGAUGAGUAGGGCGGGACACGUGGUAUCCUGUCUGAAUAUGGGGGGACCAUCCUCCAAGGCUAAAUACUCCUGACUGACCGAUAGUGAACCAGUACCGUGAGGGAAAGGCGAAAAGAACCCCGGCGAGGGGAGUGAAAAAGAACCUGAAACCGUGUACGUACAAGCAGUGGGAGCACCCUUUGGGUGUGACUGCGUACCUUUUGUAUAAUGGGUCAGCGACUUAUAUUCUGUAGCAAGGUUAACCGAAUAGGGGAGCCGGAGGGAAACCGAGUCUUAAUUGGGCGUUAAGUUGCAGGGUAUAGACCCGAAACCCGGUGAUCUAGCCAUGGGCAGGUUGAAGGUUGGGUAACACUAACUGGAGGACCGAACCGACUAAUGUUGAAAAAUUAGCGGAUGACCUGUGGCUGGGGGUGAAAGGCCAAUCAAACCGGGAGAUAGCUGGUUCUCCCCGAAAGCUAUUUAGGUAGCGCCUCGUGAAUUCAUCUCCGGGGGUAGAGCACUGUUUCGGCUAGGGGGCCAUCCCGGCUUACCAACCCGAUGCAAACUGCGAAUACCGGAGAAUGUUAUCACGGGAGACACACGGCGGGUGCUAACGUCCGUCGUGAAGAGGGAAACAACCCAGACCGCCAGCUAAGGUCCCAAAGUCAUGGUUAAGUGGGAAACGAUGUGGGAAGGCCCAGACAGCCAGGAUGUUGGCUUAGAAGCAGCCAUCAUUUAAAGAAAGCGUAAUAGCUCACUGGUCGAGUCGGCCUGCGCGGAAGAUGUAACGGGGCUAAACCAUGCACCGAAGCUGCGGCAGCGACACUGUGUGUUGUUGGGUAGGGGAGCGUUCUGUAAGCCUGUGAAGGUGUGUCGUGAGGCAUGCUGGAGGUAUCAGAAGUGCGAAUGCUGACAUAAGUAACGAUAAAGCGGGUGAAAAGCCCGCUCGCCGGAAGACCAAGGGUUCCUGUCCAACGUUAAUCGGGGCAGGGUGAGUCGACCCCUAAGGCGAGGCCGAAAGGCGUAGUCGAUGGGAAACGGGUUAAUAUUCCCGUACUUGGUGUUACUGCGAAGGGGGGACGGAGAAGGCUAUGUUGGCCGGGCGACGGUUGUCCCGGUUUAAGCGUGUAGGUGUGUGUUCCAGGUAAAUCCGGUUCACUUUAACACUGAGGCGUGACGACGAGGCACUACGGUGCUGAAGCAACAAAUGCCCUGCUUCCAGGAAAAGCCUCUAAGCAUCAGGUAACAUCAAAUCGUACCCCAAACCGACACAGGUGGUCAGGUAGAGAAUACCAAGGCGCUUGAGAGAACUCGGGUGAAGGAACUAGGCAAAAUGGUGCCGUAACUUCGGGAGAAGGCACGCUGACACGUAGGUGAAGUGAUUUACUCAUGGAGCUGAAGUCAGUCGAAGAUACCAGCUGGCUGCAACUGUUUAUUAAAAACACAGCACUGUGCAAACACGAAAGUGGACGUAUACGGUGUGACGCCUGCCCGGUGCCGGAAGGUUAAUUGAUGGGGUCAGCGCAAGCGAAGCUCCUGAUCGAAGCCCCGGUAAACGGCGGCCGUAACUAUAACGGUCCUAAGGUAGCGAAAUUCCUUGUCGGGUAAGUUCCGACCUGCACGAAUGGCGUAAUGAUGGCCAGGCUGUCUCCACCCGAGACUCAGUGAAAUUGAACUCGCUGUGAAGAUGCAGUGUACCCGCGGCAAGACGGAAAGACCCCGUGAACCUUUACUAUAGCUUGACACUGAACAUUGAGCCUUGAUGUGUAGGAUAGGUGGGAGGCUUUGAAGUGUGGACGCCAGUCUGCAUGGAGCCGACCUUGAAAUACCACCCUUUAAUGUUUGAUGUUCUAACGUGGACCCGUUACCCGGGUUGCGGACAGUGUCUGGUGGGUAGUUUGACUGGGGCGGUCUCCUCCUAAAGAGUAACGGAGGAGCACGAAGGUUGGCUAAUCCUGGUCGGACAUCAGGAGGUUAGUGCAAUGGCAUAAGCCAGCUUGACUGCGAGCGUGACGGCGCGAGCAGGUGCGAAAGCAGGUCAUAGUGAUCCGGUGGUUCUGAAUGGAAGGGCCAUCGCUCAACGGAUAAAAGGUACUCCGGGGAUAACAGGCUGAUACCGCCCAAGAGUUCAUAUCGACGGCGGUGUUUGGCACCUCGAUGUCGGCUCAUCACAUCCUGGGGCUGAAGUAGGUCCCAAGGGUAUGGCUGUUCGCCAUUUAAAGUGGUACGCGAGCUGGGUUUAGAACGUCGUGAGACAGUUCGGUCCCUAUCUGCCGUGGGCGCUGGAGAACUGAGGGGGGCUGCUCCUAGUACGAGAGGACCGGAGUGGACGCAUCACUGGUGUUCGGGUUGUCAUGCCAAUGGCACUGCCCGGUAGCUAAAUGCGGAAGAGAUAAGUGCUGAAAGCAUCUAAGCACGAAACUUGCCCCGAGAUGAGUUCUCCCUGAGACUUAGAGUCUCCUGAAGGAACGUUGAAGACGACGACGUUGAUAGGCCGGGUGUG
rnacentral:rRNA from 1 species